rnacentral:rRNA from 1 species
AGAGUUCGAUUCUGGCUCAGGAUGAACGCUGGCGGCGUGCCUAACACAUGCAAGUCGAACGGAGUCGUUUUGGAAAUCUCUUCGGAGAUGGAAUUCUCGACUUAGUGGCGGACGGGUGAGUAACGCGUGAGCAAUCUGCCUUUAAGAGGGGGAUAACAGUCGGAAACGGCUGCUAAUACCGCAUAAAGCAUCAAAUUCGCAUGUUUUUGAUGCCAAAGGAGCAAUCCGCUUUUAGAUGAGCUCGCGUCUGAUUAGCUGGUUGGCGGGGUAACGGCCCACCAAGGCGACGAUCAGUAGCCGGACUGAGAGGUUGAACGGCCACAUUGGGACUGAGACACGGCCCAG